GAUGAACGCUGGCGGCGUGCCUCAAACAUGCAAGUCGAGCGGGGCUAUGUAAUAUCGCAAGGUAGAACAUAGCCUAGCGGCGAACGGGUGAGUAACACGUGGGUAACCUGCCUGGAAGACAGGGAUAACGAUUCGAAAGGGUCGCUAAUACCUGAUAAUAUCCUUUCAUCGCAUGGUGAUAGGAAGAAAGGGGAAACCCGCUUUCAGAUGGGCCCGCGUCCCAUCAGCUAGUUGGUAAGGUAAAGGCUUACCAAGGCGACGACGGGUAGCCGGUCUGAGAGGAUGUACGGCCACACUGGGACUGAGAUACGGCCCAGACUCCUACGGGAGGCAGCAGUUGGGAAUCUUAGGCAAUGGACGAAAGUCUGACCUAGCGACGCCGCGUGAGGGAAGAAGGGCCUUCGGGUUGUAAACCUCUGUCAUGGGGAAGAAGUAAGUGACGGUACCCCAAGAGGAAGCCCCUGCUAACUACGUGCCAGCAGCCGCGGUAAAAGUACUCUA
rnacentral:rRNA from 1 species